rnacentral:lncRNA from 1 species
AGAAAUCAUUUUUGGGAUUUUUCAAAAAUCCUAAAUCGAAAACAAACUAAUUUUAAAAAGGAAAAUUGGGGAAAAGCUUUAAAACGUUUAAUAUAUCACAUAUUUACCAUAGAUCUAGGCAAAGAAAAGAAGAAGGAACCUCAAAGAGCUUUUAGGGUUUCUCUGAAACCCUAGAAAUGAGAAGGUUUGGAAGAGGUCUGGUCUUGAGUCGGAGACGGCCAUGGCUAGGCUCCCAGAACUCGAAUGCAUCGGAACAGGGUCGGAGAGGCCAUAGGAACACAGAUCGGCAGAGCAUCUGAACGGUCACCAUAGAGAUCUAGCCUCGAAAUUUCGAACACCCAUGGAUUAGGAGUGAAGGGAGGUGAGCACAAGUCGUCCAUGGCAUGAAAAGCCAUGGACUCCGGUGCGAUAAUGCUCAAAGAAGGCGAAGUGGGCGAUUAGGGUUUGAGUGUUUGAGAGCGUUUGAGAGAGAAGGGGAGU